rnacentral:rRNA from 1 species
UACGGGGGGGGCAAGCGUUGUUCGGAAUUACUGGGCGUAAAGGGCUCGUAGGCGGCCAACUAAGUCAGACGUGAAAUCCCUCGGCUUAACCGGGGAACUGCGUCUGAUACUGGAUGGCUUGAGUUUGGGAGAGGGAUGCGGAAUUCCAGGUGUAGCGGUGAAAUGCGUAGAGAUCCGGAGGAACACCGACGGCGCAGGCAGCGUCCUGGCCGCUUGCUGACACUGAGGCACGAAAGCUGGGGGAGCAAACAGG